ensembl:lncRNA
GACAGUGAAGCACGGAGGUGGGAGUCUCUUUGUUCCACCAUCUACCAUGAGGCCGAAAGCUUAACGUACCGUAAUUACAAGUCCUGUGACUCAGAAGACACCAUCAAAGCCUGAGUCUGAGUGGCCAGAAUGUGCAGAAUGUGUCUGUUGACGACAACUGCAGGUGACACGAGAGACAAUACCGAUGCACAAACAGCGUGGAAAGGUCAACCUGCGGUCAGCCUCCAGAACUAUACGACCCCAGAGUUCACAGGUCACCAAGUCCUGAGGAUGGCAGAUGAGAUGCUCUAAGGUGUAACAUCAUUACGAGGGCAGCCUCUGGAUCGCUGUGACGACACUCCACCCACAAAGAGAGGCGAUGGGGAAAACAGCAAGCAGAAACAAAAUACUUCACACACCCCUCUCCCCGAGAGCUGACUUGAUUGAGGCCAGUCGCAGAACAAGAGAGAUGAAGGAAGGGCAGGGAAGCAGUUAAUACAAAACAAAUGAAGGAAAUGGAUUAAAUCUUGCUGUUUUAUUAAAUCUGAAAUUCAAAU